rnacentral:rRNA from 3 species
UUAAGCGACUAAGCGUACACGGUGGAUGCCCUGGCAGUCAGAGGCGAUGAAGGACGUGCUAAUCUGCGAAAAGCGUCGGUAAGGUGAUAUGAACCGUUAUAACCGGCGAUGUCCGAAUGGGGAAACCCAGUGCAAUUCGUUGCACUAUCGUUAACUGAAUACAUAGGUUAACGAGGCGAACCGGGGGAACUGAAACAUCUAAGUACCCCGAGGAAAAGAAAUCAACCGAGAUUCCCCCAGUAGCGGCGAGCGAACGGGGAGCAGCCCAGAGUCUGAAUCAGCUUGUGUGUUAGUGGAACGGUCUGGAAAGUCCGACGGUACAGGGUGAUAGUCCCGUACACCAAAAUGCACAGGUUGUGAACUCGAAGAGUAGGGCGGGACACGUGGUAUCCUGUCUGAAUAUGGGGGGACCAUCCUCCAAGGCUAAAUACUCCUGACUGACCGAUAGUGAACCAGUACCGUGAGGGAAAGGCGAAAAGAACCCCGGCGAGGGGAGUGAAAAAGAACCUGAAACCGUGUACGUACAAGCAGUGGGAGCACCUUCGGGUGUGACUGCGUACCUUUUGUAUAAUGGGUCAGCGACUUAUAUUCUGUAGCAAGGUUAACCGUAUAGGGGAGCCGCAGGGAAACCGAGUCUUAACUGGGCGUUAAGUUGCAGGGUAUAGACCCGAAACCCGGUGAUCUAGCCAUGGGCAGGUUGAAGGUUGGGUAACACUAACUGGAGGACCGAACCGACUAAUGUUGAAAAAUUAGCGGAUGACUUGUGGCUGGGGGUGAAAGGCCAAUCAAACCGGGAGAUAGCUGGUUCUCCCCGAAAGCUAUUUAGGUAGCGCCUCGUGAACUCAUCUUCGGGGGUAGAGCACUGUUUCGGCUAGGGGGUCAUCCCGACUUACCAACCCGAUGCAAACUACGAAUACCGAAGAAUGUUAUCACGGGAGACACACGGCGGGUGCUAACGUCCGUCGUGAAGAGGGAAACAACCCAGACCGCCAGCUAAGGUCCCAAAGUCAUGGUUAAGUGGGAAACGAUGUGGGAAGGCACAGACAGCCAGGAUGUUGGCUUAGAAGCAGCCAUCAUUUAAAGAAAGCGUAAUAGCUCACUGGUCGAGUCGGCCUGCGCGGAAGAUGUAACGGGGCUAAACCAUGCACCGAAGCUGCGGCAGCGACACUAUGUGUUGUUGGGUAGGGGAGCGUUCUGUAAGCCUGCGAAGGUGACCUGUGAGGGUUGCUGGAGGUAUCAGAAGUGCGAAUGCUGACAUAAGUAACGAUAAAGCGGGUGAAAAGCCCGCUCGCCGGAAGACCAAGGGUUCCUGUCCAACGUUAAUCGGGGCAGGGUGAGUCGACCCCUAAGGCGAGGCCGAAAGGCGUAGUCGAUGGGAAACAGGUUAAUAUUCCUGUACUUGGUGUUACUGCGAAGGGGGGACGGAGAAGGCUAUGUUAGCCGGGCGACGGUUGUCCCGGUUUAAGCAUGUAGGCUGGUUGUCCAGGCAAAUCCGGAUAAUCAAGGCUGAGGUGUGAUGACGAGGCACUACGGUGCUGAAGUAACAAAUGCCCUGCUUCCAGGAAAAGCCUCUAAGCAUCAGGUAACAUUAAAUCGUACCCCAAACCGACACAGGUGGUCAGGUAGAGAAUACCAAGGCGCUUGAGAGAACUCGGGUGAAGGAACUAGGCAAAAUGGUGCCGUAACUUCGGGAGAAGGCACGCUGGUGUGUAGGUGAAGCCCCUGCGGGUGGAGCUGAGACCAGUCGAAGAUACCAGCUGGCUGCAACUGUUUAUUAAAAACACAGCACUGUGCAAACACGAAAGUGGACGUAUACGGUGUGACGCCUGCCCGGUGCCGGAAGGUUAAUUGAUGGGGUUAUCCGUAAGGAGAAGCUCUUGAUCGAAGCCCCGGUAAACGGCGGCCGUAACUAUAACGGUCCUAAGGUAGCGAAAUUCCUUGUCGGGUAAGUUCCGACCUGCACGAAUGGCGUAAUGAUGGCCAGGCUGUCUCCACCCGAGACUCAGUGAAAUUGAACUCGCUGUGAAGAUGCAGUGUACCCGCGGCAAGACGGAAAGACCCCGUGAACCUUUACUAUAGCUUGACACUGAACAUUGAGCCUUGAUGUGUAGGAUAGGUGGGAGGCUUUGAAGCGUGGACGCCAGUCUGCGUGGAGCCAACCUUGAAAUACCACCCUUUAAUGUUUGAUGUUCUAACGUUGGCCCCUUACCGGGGUUGCGGACAGUGUCUGGUGGGUAGUUUGACUGGGGCGGUCUCCUCCUAAAGCGUAACGGAGGAGCACGAAGGUUAGCUAAUCCUGGUCGGACAUCAGGAGGUUAGUGCAAUGGCAUAAGCUAGCUUGACUGCGAGCGUGACGGCGCGAGCAGGUGCGAAAGCAGGUCAUAGUGAUCCGGUGGUUCUGAAUGGAAGGGCCAUCGCUCAACGGAUAAAAGGUACUCCGGGGAUAACAGGCUGAUACCGCCCAAGAGUUCAUAUCGACGGCGGUGUUUGGCACCUCGAUGUCGGCUCAUCACAUCCUGGGGCUGAAGUAGGUCCCAAGGGUAUGGCUGUUCGCCAUUUAAAGUGGUACGCGAGCUGGGUUUAGAACGUCGUGAGACAGUUCGGUCCCUAUCUGCCGUGGGCGCUGGAGAAUUGAGGGGGGCUGCUCCUAGUACGAGAGGACCGGAGUGGACGCAUCACUGGUGUUCGGGUUGUCAUGCCAAUGGCACUGCCCGGUAGCUAAAUGCGGAAGAGAUAAGUGCUGAAAGCAUCUAAGCACGAAACUUGCCCCGAGAUGAGUUCUCCCUGAGACUUUAAGUCUCCUGAAGGAACGUUGAAGACGACGACGUUGAUAGGCCGGGUGUGUAAGCGCAGCGAUGCGUUGAGCUAACCGGUACUAAUGAACCGUGAGGCUUAACCUU